UAAACUUAAUAAUUUGACGGUAAUUAUUUCUUAAAGGAACUUGUAACUUAAUCGAAAUUACACGAAUAUUUCACUUAUAUUUAUCUUGUAUACCUCCGUUUAGAUUGUGUUUAUAAUUAAAUUUUCUAUAAAAUUAUUAUAAAAUAUCAGGCAAGGUGCAGUAUAUGUAAGUUGUUAUGUGUUACAUUAAAUAAUUAAUUAUUGAAUUUAAUUUGAAAAUUUUAAUGAAAGUGAAUUUAUAAGUAAGAUUAAUUAAAAUAUUAUCUGGAAUAUUAGUAUUAUGACACAU
rnacentral:rRNA from 1 species